rnacentral:rRNA from 1 species
ACUAAGCGUACACGGUGGAUGCCCUGGCAGUCAGAGGCGAUGAAGGACGUGCUAAUCUGCGAUAAGCGUCGGUAAGGUGAUAUGAACCGUUAUAACCGGCGAUUUCCGAAUGGGGAAACCCAGUGUGAUUCGUCACACUAUCAUUAACUGAAUCCAUAGGUUAAUGAGGCGAACCGGGGGAACUGAAACAUCUAAGUACCCCGAGGAAAAGAAAUCAACCGAGAUUCCCCCAGUAGCGGCGAGCGAACGGGGAGCAGCCCAGAGCCUGAAUCAGUGUGUGUGUUAGUGGAAGCGUCUGGAAAGGCGUGCGAUACAGGGUGACAGCCCCGUACACAAAAAUGCACAUACUGUGAGCUCGAUGAGUAGGGCGGGACACGUGGUAUCCUGUCUGAAUAUGGGGGGACCAUCCUCCAAGGCUAAAUACUCCUGACUGACCGAUAGUGAACCAGUACCGUGAGGGAAAGGCGAAAAGAACCCCGGCGAGGGGAGUGAAAAAGAACCUGAAACCGUGUACGUACAAGCAGUGGGAGCACGCUUAGGCGUGUGACUGCGUACCUUUUGUAUAAUGGGUCAGCGACUUAUAUUCUGUAGCAAGGUUAACCGAAUAGGGGAGCCGAAGGGAAACCGAGUCUUAACUGGGCGUUAAGUUGCAGGGUAUAGACCCGAAACCCGGUGAUCUAGCCAUGGGCAGGUUGAAGGUUGGGUAACACUAACUGGAGGACCGAACCGACUAAUGUUGAAAAAUUAGCGGAUGACUUGUGGCUGGGGGUGAAAGGCCAAUCAAACCGGGAGAUAGCUGGUUCUCCCCGAAAGCUAUUUAGGUAGCGCCUCGUGAAUUCAUCUCCGGGGGUAGAGCACUGUUUCGGCAAGGGGGUCAUCCCGACUUACCAACCCGAUGCAAACUGCGAAUACCGGAGAAUGUUAUCACGGGAGACACACGGCGGGUGCUAACGUCCGUCGUGAAGAGGGAAACAACCCAGACCGCCAGCUAAGGUCCCAAAGUCAUGGUUAAGUGGGAAACGAUGUGGGAAGGCCCAGACAGCCAGGAUGUUGGCUUAGAAGCAGCCAUCAUUUAAAGAAAGCGUAAUAGCUCACUGGUCGAGUCGGCCUGCGCGGAAGAUGUAACGGGGCUAAACCAUGCACCGAAGCUGCGGCAGCGACGCUUAUGCGUUGUUGGGUAGGGGAGCGUUCUGUAAGCCUGUGAAGGUGUGCUGUGAGGUAUGCUGGAGGUAUCAGAAGUGCGAAUGCUGACAUAAGUAACGAUAAAGCGGGUGAAAAGCCCGCUCGCCGGAAGACCAAGGGUUCCUGUCCAACGUUAAUCGGGGCAGGGUGAGUCGACCCCUAAGGCGAGGCCGAAAGGCGUAGUCGAUGGGAAACAGGUUAAUAUUCCUGUACUUGGUGUUACUGCGAAGGGGGGACGGAGAAGGCUAUGUUGGCCGGGCGACGGUUGUCCCGGUUUAAGCGUGUAGGCUGGUUUUCCAGGCAAAUCCGGAAAAUCAAGGCCGAGGCGUGAUGACGAGGCACUACGGUGCUGAAGCAACAAAUGCCCUGCUUCCAGGAAAAGCCUCUAAGCAUCAGGUAACAUCAAAUCGUACCCCAAACCGACACAGGUGGUCAGGUAGAGAAUACCAAGGCGCUUGAGAGAACUCGGGUGAAGGAACUAGGCAAAAUGGUGCCGUAACUUCGGGAGAAGGCACGCUGAUACGUAGGUGAAGCGACUUGCUCGUGGAGCUGAAAUCAGUCGAAGAUACCAGCUGGCUGCAACUGUUUAUUAAAAACACAGCACUGUGCAAACACGAAAGUGGACGUAUACGGUGUGACGCCUGCCCGGUGCCGGAAGGUUAAUUGAUGGGGUUAGCGCAAGCGAAGCUCUUGAUCGAAGCCCCGGUAAACGGCGGCCGUAACUAUAACGGUCCUAAGGUAGCGAAAUUCCUUGUCGGGUAAGUUCCGACCUGCACGAAUGGCGUAAUGAUGGCCAGGCUGUCUCCACCCGAGACUCAGUGAAAUUGAACUCGCUGUGAAGAUGCAGUGUACCCGCGGCAAGACGGAAAGACCCCGUGAACCUUUACUAUAGCUUGACACUGAACAUUGAGCCUUGAUGUGUAGGAUAGGUGGGAGGCUUUGAAGUGUGGACGCCAGUCUGCAUGGAGCCGACCUUGAAAUACCACCCUUUAAUGUUUGAUGUUCUAACGUGGACCCGUGAUCCGGGUUUCGGACAGUGUCUGGUGGGUAGUUUGACUGGGGCGGUCUCCUCCUAAAGAGUAACGGAGGAGCACGAAGGUUGGCUAAUCCUGGUCGGACAUCAGGAGGUUAGUGCAAUGGCAUAAGCCAGCUUGACUGCGAGCGUGACGGCGCGAGCAGGUGCGAAAGCAGGUCAUAGUGAUCCGGUGGUUCUGAAUGGAAGGGCCAUCGCUCAACGGAUAAAAGGUACUCCGGGGAUAACAGGCUGAUACCGCCCAAGAGUUCAUAUCGACGGCGGUGUUUGGCACCUCGAUGUCGGCUCAUCACAUCCUGGGGCUGAAGUAGGUCCCAAGGGUAUGGCUGUUCGCCAUUUAAAGUGGUACGCGAGCUGGGUUUAGAACGUCGUGAGACAGUUCGGUCCCUAUCUGCCGUGGGCGCUGGAGAACUGAGGGGGGCUGCUCCUAGUACGAGAGGACCGGAGUGGACGCAUCACUGGUGUUCGGGUUGUCAUGCCAAUGGCACUGCCCGGUAGCUAAAUGCGGAAGAGAUAAGUGCUGAAAGCAUCUAAGCACGAAACUUGCCCCGAGAUGAGUUCUCCCUGACCCUUUAAGGGUCCUGAAGGAACGUUGAAGACGACGACGUUGAUAGGCCGGGUGUGUAAGCGCAGCGAUGCGUUGAGCUAACCGGUACUAAUGAACCGUGAGGCUUAACC